AGCGAGAAGAGUUCCCUCAUUUAUCAGAAGAAGAACAGAGUAGAACUGAAGUUGGAAGAAUCCAUGGAACCCGUCCGGCAAGGGACGAGAUGAACAAAGAUCAAACGCACGCUCCCCUCGAUGUUCGGUUACAGUCAGUUGUCAAAGAACUCUUAUUCUUCUGACGGAGUCAGAUGUUGGAGGAUGAUUACGAGCUUCCGUUCGGUUUGAAGGUUUUCAGUGACGAGCGAGAAGGAACUUUGGAGAUCGACGAACUCAAAUCCAGGGUUGCAAAGCUGCUUCUUUAGGAUGCGACGAUCAGGGGGCAAGCGAAGGCCAUCAAAAAACUGAGAGAGAAAGAUGCUGCGAUGGAGAAGAAACUCGCCGAGCUUGCAAGGACAGUAGUCCAACUGAAGAAGCCUGAGAAAAUAUUUUAUGAAUAUUUCCAUUCUUCUACUGUUCUAUUUGGUGAAGAAUUUAAUCUGAUGGAUCUAAUUCUGUUAUUUUCUGUGUCAAUCUUGCAGAGGAAACCACUCUCCUCCACGAAUGCGGUUCACAGAUGAUCGACCAAUUCUUCAUUGUUUUGGUUUUCCUAAUGGGCCUUCUGACCGGUAUGCUACUGUGUGAAUGACAAAGAUCAUCGAUGAAGAUCCCAAGGCCUGGAAAGACCUUAUACACUUUCAAAGUUAGUUCGCAGCUAUCAUAUUUAGGAUAAUCCUUAUGCAAAUUACUCCUUUCGAAUUGGGAAUUAUUUUGUCCAAUGUA